rnacentral:lncRNA from 10 species
UAUGCAAUUUACGACUCUGGAGACCGACAAGGGCUCCUGGAUGCCUACCAUGAUGGGGCCUGCUGUUCCCUGAGCAUUCCUUUCAUUCCUCAGAACCCUGCCCGAAGCAGCUUAGCCGAGUAUUUCAAGGAUAGCAGAAAUGUGAAGAAGCUUAAAGACCCUACCUUGCGGUUCCGGCUGCUGAAGCACACGCGUCUCAACGUUGUUGCCUUCCUCAAUGAGUUGCCCAAAACCCAGCACGACGUCAAUUCCUUCGUGGUAGACAUAAGCGCCCAGACAAGCACAUUGCUGUGUUUUUCUGUCAAUGGAGUCUUCAAGGAAGUGGACGGAAAGUCCCGGGAUUCUUUGCGAGCCUUCACCCGGACAUUCAUUGCUGUUCCUGCUAGCAAUUCAGGGUAAGUAUUCUGCUUUUCGCAUUGGAUACCAGUCCUAAUCCAUGGCCAACAGUGUGGUAAUUGGAGGGUAGAGUCAGUCUUUGGGGUGAUUUCAGAAAGGCAACAGGAAAUCAGAGAAAGCUCACAUAGUAGUUAAGAGCCAGUUAAUAGCUUGGCUCUGGAAUUGUACCGUCUGGGUUUUCAU